AGAGUUUGAUCCUGGCUCAGGACGAACGCUGGCGGCGUGCCUAAUACAUGCAAGUCGAGCGAAUCGACGGGAGCUUGCUCCCUGAGAUUAGCGGCGGACGGGUGAGUAACACGUGGGCAACCUGCCUAUAAGACUGGGAUAACUUCGGGAAACCGGAGCUAAUACCGGAUACGUUUCUUUUCUCGCAUGAGAGAAGAUGGAAAGACGGUUUACGCUGUCACUUAUAGAUGGGCCCGCGGCGCAUUAGCUAGUUGGUGAGGUAAUGGCUCACCAAGGCGACGAUGCGUAGCCGACCUGAGAGGGUGAUCGGCCACACUGGGACUGAGACACGGCCCAGACUCCUACGGGAGGCAGCAGUAGGGAAUCUUCCGCAAUGGACGAAAGUCUGACGGAGCAACGCCGCGUGAACGAAGAAGGCCUUCGGGUCGUAAAGUUCUGUUGUUAGGGAAGAACAAGUACCAGAGUAACUGCUGGUACCUUGACGGUACCUANCCAAAAGCCCCGGCUNCCAAAGGUUCA
rnacentral:rRNA from 1 species